UGAUGAUAAAAUUCAAGGUAAUUUUACAAAU
rnacentral:piRNA from 1 species